CCCAAUAAUGGUCGAGAACCUAAGCAGCUGGUAAAAUUUUUUUGUUGGCAACCGGUGUCAUGUGACGAAACCCAUAAACUUAACUGCCAAGCUAAAAAGUCAACUGCCAAAUAAACAAAACAAGAACAAAAAAAAAAAAAAAUCCAAAACACAUGGCCUUAGUGUUGGCCUGGAAAAGUCUAUUUUGAAUUAUUUCGCCUUUGUGCUCUCGAAGCCUGACAUGUCCCAAUUUGAACUUGAAUUUGAAGAGCUGCAAUGCUACAUCGAAAUGACAGUUCUUUUGAAGCAUGGCCCAUGAAACGUUCAAUUAAGUGUGUUGGAAAAUAUUACCUGUGAGGCGAUCAUAAACCAUUGUCAGUGUUUAGGUUAAAGAAGGGGAAGAAGGCCGAAUCCCCAUAAAAUGUUUGCGUAUAUUAUA